UACGAAGGGAGCAAGCGUUGUUCGGAAUUACUGGACGUAAAGGGCGCGUAGGCGGUUAAAUAAGUCAGAUGUGAAAGUCUUGGGCUCAACCUGAGGAUUGCAUAUGAUACUGUUUUGACUAGAGAUCGAUAGAGGGAAGAGGAAUUGCGAGUGUAGAGGUGAAAUUCGUAGAUAUUCGCAAGAACACCAGUGGCGAAGGCGUCUUCCUGGGUCGAUACUGACGCUAAUGCGCGAAAGCGUGGGGAGCAAACAGG
rnacentral:rRNA from 1 species